AACGGUGGAUACUGGUAGAGAACGUGAAGGAUAACGUUGCGUCAGCAACGGCCCGUAGGGCGAGGCGAAGCCGAGUCAUCCUGCACGACCCACCA
rnacentral:sRNA from 1 species